GACGAACGCUGGCGGCGUGCUUAACACAUGCCAGUCGAACGAAGAGCGAUGGAAGCUUGCUUCUAUCAGUCUUAGUGGCAACGGGUGAGUAACGCGUAAUCAACCUGCCCUUCAGAGGGGGACAACAGUUGGAAACGACUGCUAAUACCGCAUACGAUCUAAACUCGGCAUCGAGGAUAGAUGAAAGGUGGCCUCUACAUGUAAGCUAUCACUGAAGGAGGGGAUUGCGUCUGAUUAGCUAGUUGGAGGGGUAACGGCCCACCAAGGCGAUGAUCAGUAGCCGGUCUGAGAGGAUGAACGGCCACAUUGGGACUGAGACACGGCCCAGACUCCUACGGGAGGCAGCAGUGGGGAAUCUUCCGCAAUGGACGAAAGUCUGACGGAGCAACGCCGCGUGAGUGAUGACGGCCUUCGGGUUGUAAAGCUCUGUUAAUCGGGACGAAAGGCCUUCUUGCGAAUAGGGAGAAGGAUUGACGGUACCGGAAGAGAAAGCCACGGCUAACUACGUG
rnacentral:rRNA from 1 species